AGUAGAUAAUCAAACAGCCACGUUUAAGCUUAGAGAGAUAACAUACUUAAUCACGGCUAUUUCUGUUAUUGAAAUUAUAAUGACUGCUAUAGGAAUAUUCGUUAUAAAACAACGUUGGGCAAUCUUCAGGAAUCAAAGAUAUGAAGAAAUAAAAAAGAACGCUACCUAUCUCUAUUCUAGCCAAUUAAGUAGUAGUGGUAAUGUAAACUGUGAAAGCAUUGAACUGAGAGAUUUAUCAAAUGACCACGCCAUUCAGGAAGAUGGUGAUCGUACAUAUAUUGACAUUAUUGAACACGAGAGUGACAAACAAUCACAACACACAGCACCAGUCAGCGAUAAUAUACUGUAACUCCUUCCGCUUGCACUCACUUCUAAAUUAAAAUGAUUGUGGCGUCGUCUAGCUAUAGAGAUAGCGCUUUAGCAUAAUAUAUUUAGAUGUUGAUGUGUUCAAAUAUAUGAAAUAUAAAUCUAUCCGAAUUAUUUGUCCAUGGUGCAAGAUAAACAAUGACUUAAAAAUAUAUGAUCUACUUUUUGGGGGGUUGAAAAUGAGCAUUGGCAUAUAUAAACUUUCAGAUUUUACAAUCCUCGUCACUUCACUUCUUUAAGAGAACCUGUACAGGAGUAUUAGUCCUCUAAAUGAGCCCGUACCAUAUUACAAUCAAAAUAUGAAAUGAUAGUUGAAAAUACUUGUGAAUGAGAGAGGGGAUGGGCAAAAUCCUCUGCUUUAACUAAUGAUGUAUCUGCCUAUGAUGUAUAUGGACUAGUGACGUCAGCAAUUCAUUGUGGUUUGACUUAAUUACGUCAAACCAUUAAAUAUCAGAAAGGGUUACAUGAAAAUAAAAUAUAAAAGAUAUAGUCUAUUCACUUUGAUUUCACUAUUAACUGAGAAAUCCUUAAAUAAGAAAAAUGCUUAUUUUGUAGUGCCGUUACCUUUUAAGUUCAGUAGAGGAAAGGGAUGGUCAUUAUACCGACAUAAUUAAGUAUAUACAUAUAUGCCAUAACGCAAAAAUAUAAUUAUUUUCCCCGUCAGUUGAUUUUGUUUAAUUUCCAAUAUGAUAAUGCCAAGAACACUCUACCAUUUAUUUCACAUACACAUCUUUUUAUAAAAAAAACGAAAACGCACAACAACUUUUUACUUUCAUAUCGUAUAGCUAACAGCUUUUGGGUGGCUGAUAAUGACUAAACUUAAGUAAAUA